UUGGAGAGAUAUUAACAUUGAUUGUAUAAAGUAUAUUAAUUUUAUGAUGACAGAUUUAUUUCGCCCCUAUCUGAUAAAAUCAUGAUUGAAUGCGUAUUGAUUAGUCUUUCUGAGCUUUUAGUUUAUCUUUAUAGAUGGGCCGAGCCGGUUUUGCUGUUGUGGUUAUGUGGAACAUUUAUAGCUGACCAAUAAAGGUAAAGAGUAACAUUGGAGAAUAUAUGGAACAUCAUUCUUUAUCAACAAAGACGGAUUGUUUUAAAUUCUUAUAUUCUUCAUGGAAAGGCAUAUUGUUUCAAGAAUUCGAAAAAUAUCUUAAUGUGUGGAAGGAGAGGACAUUGAGAUUUAAGAACUUGAAAAACGUCUUCAUGUUUUGAUGAAAUGGAAAUACCUAUAAGGGUUCAGAUGAAAACAACAUAUUUGUCAAUGAUCUAGUUCAAAAAUGUUAAUUUUUGAUAAUUUUGGUUGAAUAGUUUUCAAAUAAAUAAUGUUGUAUGUAACAGAUGGGGUAAAGAUGAAAUGAGACAGCUUCCAAACUUCUUGACACCAACAACUGCCGCGUGACUUGUGUUCCUAUUAUGAAUAAUUGUAUAACUUGAGCAAGUGCGUCUAGGAAGUUCUGGCGGAACUUAAAAUAAGAAGAUUGUAAAAUUCGACUUAUAAUAGGAUAAUAUUUUAUUUUAAUGAUCUAAACUUACAAAAAAAUUGUUAAUUGACAAAGAAUAAAAUAAAUAAACUACAAUUACAUCGGA